CUGACUGCUGGUUAACAGGAAACAAGGGUAUUUUCUCAACUUGCCAUUCCUGGUUCCUCCUGACAGAGGUCUGGCCCUAUAACUGCAUCACCUUGCACACCAGUGGUUUCUAGCUGGGCUCACUGACAGAAGGAGGAAGAGUGGGAAGAGCAUGGAGAUGGAAAUUUUCUUCUCGAAUCCCAUCUCUGUUUUCCGGAAAAACAAUGCUACUGGCGACAUUUGGUGUGGGAAAGAACUAAACCCAGAAGAGCACUGUAAGUGUGAUGUACAUGAGGCCACAGUCAAUGCCCUGUAUUAG
rnacentral:lncRNA from 1 species